rnacentral:rRNA from 1 species
UAGGGAAUCUUCCGCAAUGGACGAAAGUCUGACGGAGCAACGCCGCGUGAGUGAUGAAGGUUUUCGGAUCGUAAAACUCUGUUAUUAGGGAAGAACAAAUGCGUAAGUAACUGUGCGCAUCUUGACGGUACCUAAUCAGAAAGCCACGGCUAACUACGUGCCAGCAGCCGCGGUAAUACGAAGGUGGCAAGCGUUAUCCGGAAUUAUUGGGCGUAAAGCGCGCGUAGGCGGUUUCUUAAGUCUGAUGUGAAAGCCCACGGCUCAACCGUGGAGGGUCAUUGGAAACUGGGAAACUUGAGUACAGAAGAGGAAAGUGGAAUUCCAUGUGUAGCGGUGAAAUGCGCAGAGAUAUGGAGGAACACCAGUGGCGAAGGCGACUUUCUGGUCUGUAACUGACGCUGAUGUGCGAAAGCGUGGGGAUCAAACA